UACGAAGGGGGCGAGCAUUAUCCGGAAUUAUUGGGCGUAAAGAGCGUGUAGGCGGUCCUACAAGUCGGUCGUUAAAUCUCAGAGCUUAACUCUGAGACCGCGAGCGAUACUGUAGGAAUUGAGGUUUUCAGGGGCAAGCAGAAUUUCUGGAGUAGGGGUGAAAUCCGUUGAUACCAGAAGGAAUACCAAUGGCGAAGGCAGCUUGCUAGGAAACACCUGACACUGAGACGCGAAAGCGUGGGGAGCAAACGGG
rnacentral:rRNA from 1 species